rnacentral:lncRNA from 1 species
GCUACGGUGACCUCGGAAUGAGAGAGAAACAGACUAAUAUUAGCGUAGAUGUCAUUCUUCUAAUGAUGUAGCAAGUACAUCUGGUGGUAUGGGAAGUGUUCCCGGUUCCGGUUUACCUAAUUAAUGCAGCAUAAAAAUCCUUUAACAGAUUUGGAUAUUAAAAGCAUUUUAGUAUGUUAUGUGUAGGCCAGGUUAAAGAGAUGGGUCUUUAAUCUAGAUUUAAACUGCAAGAGUGUGUCUGCCUCCCGAACAAUGUUAGGUAGGUUAUUCCAGAGUUUAGGCGCCAAAUAGGAAAAGGAUCUGCCGCCCGCAGUUGAUUUUGAUAUUCUAGGUAUUAUCAAAUUGCCUUUGAGAACAUAGCGGACGUAGAGGGUUAUAAUGUAAAAGGAGCUCAUUCAAAUACUGAGGUGCUAAACCAUUCAGGGCUUUAUAAGUAAUGAGCAAUUUUUCAAAAUCUAUACGAUGUUUGAUAGGGAGCCAGUGCAGUGUUGACAGGACCGGGCUAAUAUGGUCAUACUUCCUGGUUCUAGUAAGAUGUUUCCUGAUGAUAUCUCUCAAGACACAUAAAGCGUGAAGAGUAGCGCCCCUAGCACUGAGCCUUGAGGUACUCCAUACUGCACUUGUGAUCAAUAUGAUACAUCUUCAUUCACUGCUACGAACUGAUGGCGGCCAUAUAAGUACGAUUUAAACCAUGCUAAUGCACAUCCAUUAAUGCCAACAAAGUGUUGCAUUAUAAAUGGAAAUAUCUUGUAUUCACUUGCCCGAAUUUCUCAUGAAUUUGCAAAAUGUGGGAAAACCUUUUUUUCAUUGUUGGUUGGAAUUGCCUCAUGACCAAAUGUCUUGCAGUUUGUGCAACUAAAUAUAUAUAUUAGUAUCUACUUCUUUUAAUUUCAGGAUGGGGGAUGUUGUGGUGGAAAAGGACAAACUAAUGGCUGCUGCAUGACAAAUGAACACAUACAAGAGCAUGUCAAUGUCAAUUCAAUGCUUCCAGCUCAGAAGUUGUAUGACCAGUCAGAGUUUAUACCAGUGGACCCAACACAAGAGAUCAUUUUCCACCUGAGCUCAUGGUUCGUAAAAAAAAAAAAGGUUUAAUCUGCAUUGAUUAACCAUCAUAGUAAAAUGAAGCUGAUUAAUGUAUUAAAUAGAUGAAUCAACACUUAAAUGUUUUUAUUAUUUGUGCUCUACAGAGUCUAAGUAAACAGCCCCAGAGAGAGCUGAGAUUUGUUGGAGAACGAGUGCUUUGGAUCA